AUACAUGUACUUGUUAUUAUCCCCACGGUAACACAACAACUGUGACUUCACAUUUCAUCAUCCACUGAAUUUAGCUUUAAGCAGCUGAAUGGCUAGGAGACAGAACAAAGGGGGGCCUCACCACGGUUGAGUGUCGGGGUGCUGUUGAUGUCUCCUGCCAUGAAGGAAGACUCUGUCUGCUUUCGAACCGUGUCGUUCCACAUCCUACGGAUCCGACUCUGGAAGGGGGAAGCGAAGCGAAGUUUGAGGGCCUGAAGCUGAGCGUCCAGGAUAUCCAGCAGUUGCUCUAUCAGUCGCACGGAAGAGCUUACGUCUCCAGCCUGGAUGCGACCUCGCGUGUGGUUCACCAGCUCACCCGCAAUGUUGGCAGCAUUCUCGCCGCUCUUAAUCUAUACGUAGACACGGAUGAAUGCACACAAUCAUUUGCAUUAAAUCAUUUUACUUUAAA